AACGAACGCUGGCGGCAUGCCUAACACAUGCAAGUCGAACGAGACCUUCGGAUCUAGUGGCGCACGGGGGCGUCACGCGUGGGAAGCUGCACUUAGGUUCGGAAUACCUCUCUGAAAGGGGUGCUAAUACCGGAUAAUGUCUUCUAACCAAAGAUUGAUCGCCUUUGGAUGGGCCCGAGUUGGUUUAGCUGGUUGGUAGGGUAAAAGCCUACCACGGGUACGAUCCUUAGCUGGUCUGAGAGCAAGAGCAGCCACACUCGGAGUAAGACACGGCCGAGAAUCUUAGGCGAUGGGGGAGUGCGGGAUACUGGCAUACCGGGGGAGUGAUGAACCGGCUCUGGUGGGUGAGCGCUGAUGUCCGUAGAGAAGUAAAGCUGUUUUAUCCGGGAUGAUACUGACGGUACCGGGAGAAUAAGCACCGGCUAACUCCGUG
rnacentral:rRNA from 1 species